AGGAUCAACGCUGGCGGCGUGCCUAACGCAUGUAAGUCGAACGCAGUGCCUUCGGGCACUGAGUGGCGAACGGCUGAGGAACACGUACGAACCUGCCCUCCCGUGGGGAAUAACGCCGCGAAAGCGGUGCUAAUACCGCGUACGCUGGGACUUCGGUCUCAGGAAAGUCUUUGGAUGCGGGAGGAGGGGCGUGCGGCCCAUCAGGUUGUUGGUGGGUAACGGCCUACCAAGCCAUUGACGGGUAGCUGGUCUGUGAGGACGAUCAGCCAGACUGGGACUGACGAAACGGCCCAGACACCGUACGGGUGGCAGCAGCGAGGAAUCUUCCACAAUGGACGCAAGUCCGAGUGGGCAACGCCGCGUGGAGGACGACGGCCGUUCGGGUUAGUAACGUCCGUUCGGGGGAGGAGUACGGACACGUAACCCCAAAGCCGACGCCCGGACUAACUCUGCGCCGAGCACGCCGAC
rnacentral:rRNA from 1 species